UACGUAGGGUGCAAGCGUUAAUCGGAAUUACUGGGCGUAAAGCGUGCGCAGGCGGUUUUGUAAGUCAGAUGCGAAAUCCCCGGGCUUAACCUGGGAACUGCGUUUGAAACUACAAGGCUAGAGUGUGGCAGAGGGGGGUGGAAUUCCACGUGUAGCAGUGAAAUGCGUAGAGAUGUGGAGGAACACCGAUGGCGAAGGCAGCCCCCUGGGUUAACACUGACGCUCAGGCACGAAAGCGUGGGGAGCAAACAGG
rnacentral:rRNA from 1 species